GAUGAACGCUGGCGGCGUGCCUAAUACAUGCAAGUCGAGCGAAUGAAGAGGAGCUUGCUCCUCUGAUUUAGCGGCGGACGGGUGAGUAACACGUGGGUAAUCUGCCUGUAAGACGGGGAUAACUCCGGGAAACCGGGGCUAAUACCGGAUAAUAAGAGAAGAAGCAUUUCUUCUUUUUGAAAGUCGGUUUCGGCUGACACUUACAGAUGAGCCCGCGGCGCAUUAGCUAGUUGGUGAGGUAACGGCUCACCAAGGCGACGAUGCGUAGCCGACCUGAGGGGGUGAUCGGCCACACUGGGACUGAGACACGGCCCAGACUCCUACGGGAGGCAGAAGUAGGGAAUCUUCGGCAAUGGGCGAAAGCCUGACCGAGCAACGCCGCGUGAGCGAUGAAGGCCUUCGGGUCGUAAAGCUCUGUUGUUAGAGAAGAACAAGUACGAGAGUAACUGCUCGUACCUUGACGGUACCUAACCAGAAAGCCACGGCUAACUACGUGCCAGCCGCCGCCGUAAAAC
rnacentral:rRNA from 1 species